rnacentral:rRNA from 1 species
UAGAAUUCCAGGUGUAGCGGUGAAAUGCGUAGAGAUCUGGAGNNAUACCGGUGGCGAAGGCGGCCUCCUGGACGAAGACUGACGCUCAGGUGCGAAAGCGUGGGGAGCAAACAGGAUUAGAUACCCUGGUAGUCCACGCCGUAAACGAUGUCGAUUUGGAGGUUGUGCCCUUGAGGCGUGGCUUCCGGAGCUAACGCGUUAAAUCGACCGCCUGGGGAGUACGGCCGCAAGGUUAAAACUCAAAUGAAUUGACGGGGGCCCGCACAAGCGGUGGAGCAUGUGGUUUAAUUCGAUGCAACGCGAAGAACCUUACCUGGUCUUGACAUCCACAGAACCUGGCAGAGAUGCCGGGGUGCCUUCGGGAACUGUGAGAAAGGUGAGACAUGGCUGUCGUCAGCUCGUGUUGUGAAAUGAUGGGUUAAUUCCCGCAACGAGCGCAACCCUUAUCCUUUGUUGCCAGCGGUUAGGCCGGGAACUCAAAGGAGACUGCCAGUGAUAAACUGGAGGAAGGUGGUGAUGACGUCAAGUCAUCAUGGCCCUUACGACCAGGCAGACACACGUGCUACAAUGGCGCAUACAAAGAGAAGCGAUCUCGCGAGAGCAAGCGGACCUCAUAAAGUGCGUCGUAGUCCGGAUUGGAGUCUGCAACUCGACUCCAUGAAGUCGGAAUCGCUAGUAAUCGUGAAUCAGAAUGUCACGGUGAAUACGUUCCC